AUAUCCUUUACCUCAUCUAUGUAAUGUUCUCAUUGGACCCGAGAGAUCCAUACAGACUAGUUACAUUGUUCUGGUGGUGCUUAAGACUUUCUUGCAUUUAAAAGAGAAUCUUUCUUACUUCCCCAUUGCACAAGCCUCACAAACUUUAUCUUCCUUAAACUUGAUGUUAGUUCUUGGAGACUAAUUUGUUGAGUUGAUUCAGACUUGCAUGUCCAAGUCUCUUCUGCCACAUGAGAGGAUCAUUGUCGAACACACUUAAGCAAAUAAAUUCAUUUUCUGAGAGUGUGGAUAGA
rnacentral:lncRNA from 1 species